AUUGAACGCUGGCGGCAGGCUUAACUCAUGCAAGUCGAGCGGGGUGAUGGUGCUUGCACUAUCACUUAGCGGCGGACGGGUGAGUAAUGCUUAGGAAUCUGCCUAUUAGUGGGGGACAACAUCUCGAAAGGGAUGCUAAUACCGCAUACGUCCUACGGGAGAAAGCAGGGGAUCACUUGUGACCUUGCGCUAAUAGAUGAGCCUAAGUCGGAUUAGCUAGUUGGUGGGGUAAAGGCCUACCAAGGCGACGAUCUGUAGCGGGUCUGAGAGGAUGAUCCGCCACACGGGGACUGAGAGACGGCCAAGACUCCUACGGGAGGCAGCAGUGGGGAAUAUUGGACAAUGGGGGGAACCCUGAUCCAGCCAUGCCGCGUGUGUGAAGAAGGCCUUAUGGUUGUAAAGCACUUUAAGCGAGGAGGAGGCUCUUUUGGUUAAUACCCAAGAUGAGUGGACGUUACUCGCAGAAUAAGCACCGGCUAACUCUGUGCCAGCAGCCGCCGUAA
rnacentral:rRNA from 1 species